CGCGGGGUGGAGCAGUGGUAGCUCGUUGGGCUCAUAACCCAAAGGUCGUAGGUUCGAGUCCUACCCCCGCCA
rnacentral:tRNA from 1 species